GUCUCACUAGCGUAGUGGAUAGCGCAUGAGCCUCGGUUGGGCGCGACACACGGGUUCGAAUCCCGUCUGAGAUG
rnacentral:tRNA from 1 species